rnacentral:misc_RNA from 1 species
GAUGAAGAACGUAGCGAGAUGCGAUAAGUAAUGUGAAUUGCAGAAUUCAGUGAAUCAUCGAAUCUUUGAACGCACAUUGCGCCCGCUAGUAUUCUGGCGGGCAUGCCUGUCCGAGCGUCAUUUCAACCCUCAAGCCCCCGGGCUUGGUGUUGGGGAUCGGCGAGCCUCCGCGCCCGCCGUCCCCUAAAUCUAGUGGCGGUCUCGCUGUAGCUUCCUCUGCGUAGUAGCACACCUCGCACUGGGAAACAGCGCGGCCACGCCGUUAAACCCCCAACUUCUGAACGUUUGACCUCGGAUCAGGUAGGAAUACCCGCUGAACUUAAGCAUAUCAAUAAGCGGAGGA